UACGGGGGGGGCAAGCGUUGUUCGGAAUUACUGGGCGUAAAGGGCUCGUAGGCGGCCAACUAAGUCGGACGUGAAAUCCCUCGGCUUAACCGGGGAACUGCGUCCGAUACUGGAUGGCUUGAGUAUGGGAGAGGGAUGCGGAAUUCCAGGUGUAGCGGUGAAAUGCGUAGAUAUCUGGAAGAACAUCGGUGGCGAAGGCGCUCUACUGGACCACAACUGACACUCAGGGACGAAAGCUAGGGGAGCGAAUGGG
rnacentral:rRNA from 1 species